rnacentral:lncRNA from 1 species
AUGAGUAAGUGGUGCAUUUUGGUUGUUUUGGCUCUUGCUCUAGUUGCAACAAGUGCAAGAAAUGUGCCUGCUGGAGAGGCUGUCUUGAAGGAUGAGAAGACCUUUGGUGGACUUUCAGGAAUUGGUAACAAUGGUUUUCCAUUUGGUGGUGGACUUGGCGGACUAGGCAGUGGUGGACUCGGAGGAUUCACCGGGCCAGGCGGUGGACUAGGUGGAUCCAGUGGAUCCAGCGGUAGCGGACUUGGAGGUUCUGGGGGUGGUGCCUUUCCUCAUCCUUGA